GGGCCCGUAGCUCAGUAAGGAUUAGAGCACCGGGCUUUUAACCCGGGGGUCCCGGGUUCAAUUCCCGGCGGGCCCG
rnacentral:tRNA from 1 species